UCCUCAUUAGCUUAAUGGUAGAGCCAGAUACUACGGAUAUCUUAGUUUUAGUUCGAGUCUAAAAUGAGGAU